rnacentral:rRNA from 1 species
UAGGAAUCUGCCCGAUAGUGGGGGAUAACGUGGGGAAACCCACGCUAAUACCGCAUACGUCCUACGGGAGAAAGCAGGGGAUCUUCGGACCUUGCGCUAUCGGAUGAGCCUAUGUCGGAUUAGCUAGUUGGUGAGGUAAUGGCUCACCAAGGCGACGAUCCGUAGCUGGUCUGAGAGGAUGAUCAGCCACACUGGGACUGAGACACGGCCCAGACUCCUACGGGAGGCAGCAGUGGGGAAUAUUGGACAAUGGGGGAAACCCUGAUCCAGCCAUGCCGCGUGUGUGAAGAAGGCCUUCGGGUUGUAAAGCACUUUCAGCGAGGAAGAAGGCCUGAGGGUUAAUACCCUUCAGGAAGGACAUCACUCGCAGAAGAAGCACCGGCUAACUCCGUGCCAGCAGCCGCGGUAAUACGGAGGGUGCGAGCGUUAAUCGGAAUUACUGGGCGUAAAGCGCGCGUAGGUGGCUUGAUAAGCCGGUUGUGAAAGCCCCGGGCUCAACCUGGGAACGGCAUCCGGAACUGUCAGGCUAGAGUGCAAGAGAGGAAGGUAGAAUUCCCGGUGUAGCGGUGAAAUGCGUAGAGAUCGGGAGGAAUACCAGUGGCGAAGGCGGCCUUCUGGACUGACACUGACACUGAGGUGCGAAAGCGUGGGUAGCAAACAGGAUUAGAUACCCUGGUAGUCCACGCCGUAAACGAUGUCGACUAGCCGUUGGGUUCCUUGAGAACUUUGUGGCGCAGUUAACGCGAUAAGUCGACCGCCUGGGGAGUACGGCCGCAAGGUUAAAACUCAAAUGAAUUGACGGGGGCCCGCACAAGCGGUGGAGCAUGUGGUUUAAUUCGAUGCAACGCGAAGAACCUUACCUACCCUUGACAUCGUGCGAACUUGGUAGAGAUACCUUGGUGCCUUCGGGAACGCACAGACAGGUGCUGCAUGGCUGUCGUCAGCUCGUGUUGUGAAAUGUUGGGUUAAGUCCCGUAACGAGCGCAACCCUUGUCCCUAUUUGCCAGCGAUUCGGUCGGGAACUCUAGGGAGACUGCCGGUGACAAACCGGAGGAAGGUGGGGACGACGUCAAGUCAUCAUGGCCCUUACGGGUAGGGCUACACACGUGCUACAAUGGUCGGUACAAAGGGUUGCAAUGCCGCGAGGUGGAGCUAAUCCCAUAAAGCCGAUCUCAGUCCGGAUCGGAGUCUGCAACUCGACUCCGUGAAGUCGGAAUCGCUAGUAAUCGUGAAUCAGAAUGUCACGGUGAAUACGUUCCCGGGUCCUUGUACACACCGCCCGUCACACCA